rnacentral:rRNA from 1 species
GGGAACGUACCUUUUGGUUCGGAACAACACAGGGAAACUUGUGCUAAUACCGGAUAAGCCCUUACGGGGAAAGAUUUAUCGCCGAAAGAUCGGCCCGCGUCUGAUUAGCUAGUUGGUAGGGUAACGGCCUACCAAGGCGACGAUCAGUAGCUGGUCUGAGAGGAUGAUCAGCCACAUUGGGACUGAGACACGGCCCAAACUCCUACGGGAGGCAGCAGUGGGGAAUAUUGGACAAUGGGGGCAACCCUGAUCCAGCCAUGCCGCGUGAGUGAUGAAGGCCCUAGGGUUGUAAAGCUCUUUUGUGCGGGAAGAUAAUGACGGUACCGCAAGAAUAAGCCCCGGCUAACUUCGUGCCAGCAGCCGCGGUAAUACGAAGGGGGCUAGCGUUGUUCGGAAUUACUGGGCGUAAAGCGCACGUAGGCGGAUAUUUAAGUCAGGGGUGAAAUCCCAGAGCUCAACUCUGGAACUGCCUUUGAUACUGGGUAUCUUGAGUAUGGAAGAGGUAAGUGGAAUUCCGAGU